GGUUUCGUAGCUCAGCUAGUAGAGCGUUUGCCACGUUGAGGCACGGUGUUUCUGUUGCUGGCUCGAAUCCGGCCGAAGCCC